rnacentral:rRNA from 1 species
GACGAACCGUGCGAACGUUGUUCGGAAUCACUGGGCUUAAAGGGCGCGUAGGCGGGUUCGCAAGUCUGUGGUGAAAGCCCCCAGCUUAACUGGGGAAGUGCCGUGGAUACUGCGAAUCUUGAGGAGGGUAGGGGCGUCUGGAACGGUCGGUGGAGCGGUGAAAUGCGUAGAUAUCAGGAGGAAUACCGGUGGCGAAAGCGACUCUCUGGACGGCAACUGACGCUGAGGCACGAAAGCGUGGGGAGCAAACAGG